AUUGAACGCUGGCGGCAGGCCUAACACAUGCAAGUCGAGCGAGCGGCGGACGGGUGAGUAAUGUCUGGGAAACUGGCUGAUGGAGGGGGAUAACUACUGGAAACGGUAGUUAAUACCGCAUACCAUCAGAUGUGUCCAGAUGGGAUUAGCUAGUAGGUGGGGUAACGGCUCACCUAGGCGACGAUCCCUAGCUGGUCUUAGAGGAGGACCAGCCACACUGGAACUGAGACACGGUCCAGACUCCUACGGGAGGCAGCAGUGGGGAAUAUUGCACAAUGGGCGCAAGCCUGAUGCAGCCAUGCCGCGUGUGUGAAGAAGGCCUUCGGGUUGUAAAGCACUUGCAGCGGGGAGGCGUUACCCACAGAAGAAGCACCGGCUAACUCCGUGCCAGCAGCCGCGGUAAUUC
rnacentral:rRNA from 1 species